ensembl:misc_RNA Y_RNA Y RNA
GGCUGGUCCAAAGGUAGUGAGUUAUCUCCGUCGAUUGUUCACAGUCAGUUACAAAUUAGACCCCUUGUUCCACUCUGUCCUCUCUUCCCACUACUGCACUUGAAUAGUCUUUG